AAAAUUGUAAUUUUCUGAUUAUAGAACUUAUACUCUGAUACGUCCUGAGUAUGAGUGGGUGGCAUAGACAGAUAACGGACUGCACGAUAAAAUUGAAGUCGGCGGCCGUAUGCUAACAGGGCAAUAUUUACAAAAUUUUAUAGUUAUAUGAAAAUAAAUUCGUUAUUUGUAUUAUUAUCAAUAUAGCUAUAUUAUCCAUUGAGUUAUUUUGUAUACAUUGCCCUGUUGGCUUUUUAGCCGCACGACUUCAACUUUCCUAUGGGAAUGUAAUACGCAGUCAGUCCGCUAUCUAGUUGUUUUAAAUGUCUAUGAUGGGCGACGCGGUGACGGUGAAAAGACUGCUUCACGUUUUAAGGAAACCAAUGUUUCCACCUUGGUUAUUUAAUGACCAGAUCUAGUUUAGUUUUAUUGUACAAGGUGUUCACAAAAUGACGUCGGUUUUUGUUACGGCUGUACUAGUUACUAGUUCUGUGCUAGUACUCAUGUCUACUAGUACUACUUGUUGCCUAAACGGCUAUAUCAAUAUUUAAUCGUGUAAUACGUAUUAUACGUAAAUUGUACUAAACAACUUACUGGGGCUUGCAUUGUGUGAUAAAGAAAAUUGUUGUGAGUUGUGGUAGAAGUCGUUGACGAUUGGAAUAAAUCGAUCACAGUUCAUUUGAUUAAAACCACUAUUAUUCAAAAUUACAGUGAACUCAGACUAUGGGUAAGCCACAGUAUAUUAUUCAAAAGUUCCGGAUGGAGCGACUUAAAUAAGGCAUUUUCUGAUUGGUUGAAAGAGAUUCCAGAUGACAACUCAAAAGCGUAUUCGGUGACCGAUGACGGUUAAUAGAGUUUCUACUGUAUAAUAUAGUAAGUUCUAGUUUUGCGGUUUCACAAUACAUUAGCAUCGUCACAAAUAGGUAACGAAGCUGAGCUGGAGUGUCCAAUGUUGCUGAUUCUGCCAUGCAUGACAACAAAGCUUGGUCGUCUUCCAACAGUCCUAUGGCGAAGGCUGCAGCCAGUUAGAUGCUGAACCCCGUCUACUGUCCUCAUGUCGCGGUAAGAGUAGUUUGGAGUAGCGUAUUUACGGGAGGGAUAUGGGAGAUAGAUCCUCCCUUGGUCUUUUUUUACUAAUAAGUUGAAUUAUGUCAUAUAUAUAUGACAGCAUUACAGAAUAAAAUUGUUGAAAACUUUAGAUACACUUUAUUAAAAAUAUAGCAAUGAAUAUUAAUUUAUUAAGAAUUUGGAAAUAUUAUGGUUGAUGCCUUUAGUCUAUAGGUACAUGACUUACUGCUAAAUAUGUAUAUGAUUGAAAAUAAUUUGUAUCGUAAAUCUUAAAAUGCUGUCAAAUGUCAUCAUUGUCAAUAAUGAUCCGGCUAUUAUCAGGCUUCUAAUAAUAGGCGUUUGGUUGCUACUUCAAAACAUUUUGCAGAGCAAAGACUUGUACAUAUAAAUCCGUAUUCUAAACAUUUUUAUAUGUUAAUAAAGUCUGCUUACUUGUACAUAGCACAUAUUUACCAUUUAUG